CAGCCGCCGCGGGAAUACAGAGGGUGCGAGCGUUAAUCGGAUUUACUGGGCGUAAAGCGUGCGUAGGCGGCUUCUUAAGUCGGAUGUGAAAUCCCUGAGCUUAACUUAGGAAUUGCAUUCGAUACUGGGAAGCUAGAGUAUGGGAGAGGAUGGUAGAAUUCCAGGUGUAGCGGUGAAAUGCGUAGAGAUCUGGAGGAAUACCGAUGGCGAAGGCAGCCAUCUGGCCUAAUACUGACGCUGAGGUACGAAAGCAUGGGGAGCAAACAGGAUUAGAUACCCCGGUAGUCCCUGUCUUUUAUAC
rnacentral:rRNA from 1 species